rnacentral:rRNA from 1 species
UAGGGAAUCUUCCGCAAUGGACGCAAGUCUGACGGAGCAACGCCGCGUGAGUGAAGAAGGAUUUCGGUUCGUAAAACUCUGUUGUUAGAGAAGAACAGCGCAUAGAGUAACUGUUAUGCGUGUGACGGUAUCUAACCAGAAAGCCACGGCUAACUACGUGCCAGUAGCCGCGGUAAUACGUAGGUCCCGAGCGUUGUCCGGAUUUAUUGGGCGUAAAGCGAGCGCAGGCGGUUAGAUAAGUCUGAAGUUAAAGGCAGUGGCUCAACCAUUGUAGGCUUUGGAAACUGUUUAACUUGAGUGCAGAAGGGGAGAGUGGAAUUCCAUGUGUAGCGGUGAAAUGCGUAGAUAUAUGGAGGAACACCGGUGGCGAAAGCGGCUCUCUGGUCUGUAACUGACGCGGAGGCUCGAAAGCGUGGGGAGCGAACAGG